rnacentral:lncRNA from 1 species
GAAUAUAAAACAUCUACUAAAAUGCCUGGCCAUAGCAAGAAUACAACACACAUUAACUAUGAAUAGUGAUUAUUGUGUCCUAAAGAGGUCCCAAGGUCAAAGUCAAAACAACACUCUAAACUGACUUUAAUCAAAGGUAAGUUAAGAAUAAAUACUGCACUGUAAUGGCAUGUCAGAAGAAGAGGUGAAGGAGGCUGAGGAAUGAACAAUUAGAAACCGAGUAAAAUAGGCAAAUAGAGGAUGGUCUAAAAGAGAUCCAGAAAUAGAGCAUUAUUGUCCUGAUAUUUCUAUCUAGGGAGCCCUUAUUUGAGCAAACCAGUCUAUCUAAAAAGACCACAGUUAGACAGAUUGUCACAGUGCUCUAAUCACUUCUAACAGGUCAUUGGGAGGGCUGGGCCCAGGGCCUAAUAUCCCCCAGAUUCUCCUGUUCAUAUUAAGGCACAGAGCUUUCCUAUUGUGUGUGCUCAGUUUCUGACCAAAUUUUUAAUGAUACAGCAUUCAUUUCACUGCCUCAUUACUACACACCUGUAUUAGUCAGGGUCCCAACAGAAAACAGACGGCACACUCAAAUUGGAAAAAUUAAGGCAAGUUUAGUAAAAGGAUUCUUGCUAGAGUUGUGGACAGUAUAUAAGGAAACUACAAGAACAGUGCAUUACCCCCAAGGUGAGUAACAGAUGAUCACCUCCAGGUCUGAAGAGGCAAGAAAGGGAGUCAGUGGAGAACCUGGAGAGACAGCAAGAGUGGGGCAAAUAAGGAUACCGAAGAGCUAUGGCCUAUACUUGCGAGAAACUCCCAGAGUAGGACAUGGAAGGAACCAGGAUAGUAAUACACUGACCCUACUCUGCUUUCUCCUACCAGUCUUCUAGCAAUGCCUUAAGCAAACCCAACCAGAAGCAGAAAAUGAGGGAGCCCAAGGUCAGCUCUGGAGUUUAUAGCAGGGAGGGGAAAAAUAGAAAGUGAAUCUGGUGAGGCCACAAACAUCAAAUAUCCAGCACAUGGCCCUACCUUCCUAAAUGUCUGGCACUGCCCCAGAAGGAAUAACUUCAUAUGAUUUCUUCAAGAUAAAGCCAACAGUCUGUCUUCUCUAAUAGCCUCAUCUACCUCUCAAACUUACACACUCAACUCUUCCAUCAGGGAGAAAUCCUUUUGCAGCUGGUAUAGUGCUCUUUUGGCUUUUCUUUUCCCAAUUACCUUGUUUAUUCAUAGAAAUAAUGCACUAGAGGGCCCAUCCCUUCGGGCCUUUGAAUAAGCUCUAACAUGUCAGAACUGGCUGGACUUGUCCAUGCCUGGAGCUCUAUGACACAAUAAAACCCAGUAAGAUAUACUUGGCACUAAAUAGGGGCUGAUUAGAAUGGAAUCCUCCAUUGAUGACGCAGGACCUCAGGUUGUAAUUCUGAAUGUCAAAAGUCAUUAUACAAAACUGUAUAAAGUACAAUACUGGAUUUUUUAAAGGAGUUGAUUAUUUGCAUCCUGGAACAUGCAUCACUGCAUAUUCCAUGUUAACAGUUCCUGAAGUUAAAAAAAAAAAAAAAAAAAAAAAAAAAA